rnacentral:rRNA from 1 species
UACGGAAGGUGCAAGCGUUGUUCGGAAUGACUGGGCGUAAAGCGCACGUAGGCGGGUUUGUAAGUCGGAUGUGAAAUCCCUGGGCUCAACCCGGGAACUGCACCCGAAACUGUGAAUCUUGAAUGCUUGAGAGGUUGGUGGAAUUCCUGGUGUAGGAGUGAAAUCCGUAGAUAUCAGGAGGAACACCGGCGGCGAAGGCGGCCAACUGGCGAUGCAUUGACGCUGAGGUGCGAAAGCGUGGGGAGCAAACAGG